GACGAACGCUGGCGGCGUGCUUAACACAUGCAAGUCGAACGGAAAGGCCCUGCUUUUGUGGGGUGCUCGAGUGGCGAACGGGUGAGUAACACGUGAGUAACCUGCCCUUGACUUUGGGAUAACUUCAGGAAACUGGGUCUAAUACCGGAUAUGAGCUCCUGCUGCAUGGUGGGGGUUGGAAAGUUGUGGCGGUUGGGGAUGGACUCGAGGCUUAUCGGCUUGUUGGUGGGGUAGUGGCUUACCAAGGCUUUGACGGGUAGCCGGCCUGAGAGGGUGACCGGCCCCAUUGGGACUGAGAUACGGCCCAGACUCCUACGGGAGGCAGCAGUGGGGAAUAUUGCACAAUGGGCGGAAGCCUGAUGCAGCAACGCCGCGUGCUGGAUGACGGCUGUCGGGUUGUAAACCGCUUUCGCCUGUGACGAAGCGUGAGUGACGGUAAUGGGUAAAGAAGCACCGGCUAACUACGUG
rnacentral:rRNA from 1 species